GUUUCUCCAUAGCAACCACUGCGCGGCAUUGCCGGUAUUCUUGCGUUUCCAUAGUGACUGGUGAAUGCGUCAAAAGUGUUACGAAAGUUUGGUUGGAAGCAACUGUUCAAGCACCGCUGGAGGUCUCAGUUUCUGCCCUAAGGGAGCCUUGUUCGUGGGAAGAAAUAAGGGCUCAUGGACAUGGACGUUAACAUUUAAUGGAUCUUUAGCACCUAACAAUGCCUACCAAAAGUGCCAAAACAAAAGGAUCAGGCAAAUCAAGCAGUAAAAGCAAGAAGUCAAAAAAGUCAAAGAAGACAAAAGUACCAAAACCAGAAGUAGAUAUACUCAGUCCAGCUGCCAUGCUCAAUGCCUACUAUAUUUCCCACAAUGCUGUGGACUGCCUGGGCUUUCGUGGUUUUUCGUGGCCUGGGGCACCAAAAAAGAAAGGAAAAAGAGGAAAGAAAAAGUAAAUAACUGCAUAUUGGCCAAAACAGCAUUAAUAAUUGUUUGCAUUGCCAAAAAUGUUGUAACUACUUUCGGCCAAAAAUGUACAAAUAGUGGAUUCAUUGUAACGCAGUAUUCUGGAUUUCCAAUGUUUAUAAAUUGUUCGUUCAACAAUUAAAAAAAGUAAUAUUAUGUAUGGCUAAUAGAA